GCGGAUCCCUGCUCGCUGGCGUUGGGUGCGGCGGCGUUGUUCGCCGCGGCGGUCGAGGGGGCAUCGGUGAGGACCAGCUCCUCGGCCUCAGUGGGCUUGAGGUCCCGCAGGAGGACAAACCCGGACGGCGCGGCCUUCACCGGCUCGUACCGGCUGUCUUCCAAGAACUUUAUGAACUUCUCCUGGGCUGGGAUGACCCGGGCAGGGUUCGUCAGGAGCUGGAAGGUCGGCUCUGGCUCAGGGGCCUUCUUCUCUGCAGCAGCACCGUCGACCUGAGCUCACAAUCACAGAUGAACCAUGUGUCAGAGUCACGAGCAGUUGGAUUAUAAAUCAAACAAAGCAGUUAAUUCAUCUCAGAAACUACUGAUCAAUCCUGCAACUCUUACCUGCAUGGAAGUAGAAGCAGCAGAAGCGUCCUCGCUUGGUGGCGCUGCCUCUGCCUUCUCCUUUGCCUUGCUCUCUGCAUCCUUCUUCGCCCUAGACUUCGCCUUGGCAUACGUUGACAAGAUAGCCGUUGGCACCUUGACUGAUGCAGUUGCAGUCCGCUGAGUUGUCGGCUUGGGAUAAUCGAACAGCGAUGGCUUGGUGUUCGACAGGAACUCAAACUUUGGCACUUUCAGAUCGGAGUUGAGUCCGAUGAGAGCUGUCGGGGAGAAGGCAAGGCUGAUGAAGUAGGUGAGUGGGUACCAGUACCAGAACUGGGUGAAGACAGCCAGUCCGACAACGGCAGUGAGCCUGUCAUGCUUUGACUUUGACUUGAGCUUGAUGGUGACGUUCCUGCCGCCAGCAUCAAUGAUGCCGGAAGCCAGUAUGGCGCCCAUUUUGCUCAUGGUGUCCUCGUGCUUGUCAAGAAUGAUCUUUUCCAACUUGCGCCUGAAUGCUCCAACACGUGAAUCAUAAGAUUCAUUGGUCUGGAUCAUCACCAUUGCCAUGGCAAUCAGAGCGCCCUGGCGUACAAAGUCAACGACGUCUGAUGUAAGAGGCUCCAGCAAGGAGAUGGCUUCACUCAAUCCUGUUCCGGCACAGGAGAU
rnacentral:lncRNA from 1 species